rnacentral:rRNA from 1 species
AUUGAACGCUGGCGGCAUGCCUUACACAUGCAAGUCGAACGGCAGCGGGGACUUCGGUCCGCCGGCGAGUGGCGAACGGGUGAGUAAUGUAUCGGAACGUACCUUUCAGUGGGGGAUAACGUAGCGAAAGUUACGCUAAUACCGCAUAUUCUCUGAGGAGGAAAGCAGGGGACCUUCUGGCCUUGUGCUGGUGGAGCGGCCGAUAUCAGAUUAGCUAGUUGGUGGGGUAAAGGCUCACCAAGGCUACGAUAUGUAGCGGGUCUGAGAGGAUGUUCCGCCUCACUGGGACUGAGACACGGCCCAGACUCCUACGGGAGGCAGCAGUGGGGAAUUUUGGACAAUGGGCGCAAGCCUGAUCCAGCCAUGCCGCGUGAGUGAAGAAGGCCUUCGGGUUGUAAAGCUCUUUCGGACGGGAAGAAAUUGGUGGGGCUAAUAUCCCCAUCGGAUGACGGUACCGUAAUAAGAAGCACCGGCUAACUACGUGCCAGCCGCCGCCGUAACAC